GAUGAACGCUGGCGGCGUGCCUAAUACAUGCAAGUCGAGCGAACAGACGAGGAGCUUGCUCCUCUGACGUUAGCGGCGGACGGGUGAGUAACACGUGGAUAACCUACCUAUAAGACUGGGAUAACUUCGGGAAACCGGAGCUAAUACCGGAUAAUAUAUUGAACCGCAUGGUUCAAUAGUGAAAGACGGUUUUGCUGUCACUUAUAGAUGGAUCCGCGCCGCAUUAGCUAGUUGGUAAGGUAACGGCUUACCAAGGCAACGAUGCGUAGCCGACCUGAGAGGGUGAUCGGCCACACUGGAACUGAGACACGGACCAGACUCCUACGGGAGGCAGCAGUAGGGAAUCUUCCGCAAUGGGCGAAAGCCUGACGGAGCAACGCCGCGUGAGUGAUGAAGGUCUUCGGAUCGUAAAACUCUGUUAUUAGGGAAGAACAAAUGUGUAAGUAACUAUGCACGUCUUGACGGUACCUAAACAGAAAGCCACGGCUAACUACGUG
rnacentral:rRNA from 1 species